UACGAAGGGGGCUAGCGUUGCUCGGAAUCACUGGGCGUAAAGCGCACGUAGGCGGCUUUCUAAGUCAGGGGUGAAAUCCUGGAGCUCAACUCCAGAACUGCCUUUGAUACUGGAGAGCUUGAGUCCGGAAGAGGUGAGUGGAACUCCGAGUGUAGAGGUGAAAUUCGUAGAUAUUCGGAAGAACACCAGUGGCGAAGGCGGCUCACUGGUCCGGUACUGACGCUGAUGUGCGAAAGCGUGGGGAGCAAACAGGA
rnacentral:rRNA from 1 species